rnacentral:rRNA from 1 species
UUUAUUGGAGAGUUUGAUCCUGGCUCAGGAUGAACGCUGGCGGCGUGCCUAAUACAUGCAAGUCGAGCGAAUGGAUUAAGAGCUUGCUCUUAUGAAGUUAGCGGCGGACGGGUGAGUAACACGUGGGUAACCUGCCCAUAAGACUGGGAUAACUCCGGGAAACCGGGGCUAAUACCGGAUAACAUUUUGAACUGCAUGGUUCGAAAUUGAAAGGCGGCUUAGGCUGUCACUUAUGGAUGGACCCGCGUCGCAUUAGC